rnacentral:rRNA from 1 species
CACGGGGGACGAGCGUGUUCGGAUUACUGGCGUAAAGGGUGCGUAGGCGGGUCGGCAAGUCGGGUGUGAAAUUCCAUGGCUCAACCAUGGAUCUGCACUCGAAACUGCCGGUCUUGAGUACAGGAGAGGUGAGUGGAAUUCCCGGUGUAGCGGUGAAAUGCGUAGAUAUCGGGGAGGAACACCGUUGGCGAAGGCGGCUCACUGGACUGAUACUGACGCUGAGGCACGAAGGCCGGGGGACAAAC